rnacentral:rRNA from 1 species
ACUCCUACGGGAGGCAGCAGCUAAGAAUAUUCCGCAAUGGACGAAAGUCUGACGGAGCGACGCCGCGUGGAUGAAGAAGGCCGAAAGGUUGUAAAGUUCUUCUGCUAGGGGAGAAUAAGUGAGGGAGGGAAUGCCCUCACGAUGACAAGGACUAGCGAAUAAGCCCCGGCCAACUACGUGCCAGCAGCCGCGGUAACACGUAGGGGGCGAGCGUUGUUCGGAAUUACUGGGCGUAAAGGGCAUGUAGGCGGCUUGGUAAGCCUGGCGUGAAAGACUGCAGCUUAACUGUAGGGAUGCGUUGGGAACUGCUUAGCUUGAGUUACGGAGAGGGAGCUGGAAUUCCUGGUGUAGGGGUGAAAUCUGUAGAUAUCAGGAAGAACACCGAUGGCGAAGGCAAGCUUCUGGUCGAUAACUGACGCUGAGGUGCGAAAGUGUGGGGAUCAAACAGGAUUAGAUACCCUGGUAGUC